UGGGGAAUUUUGGACAAUGGGCGCAAGCCUGAUCCAGCAAUGCCGCGUGCAGGAUGAAGGCCUUCGGGUUGUAAACUGUUUUUGUACGGAACGAAACGACUCUGGUUAAUACCUGGGGCUAAUGACGGUACCGUAAGAAUAAGCACCGGCUAACUACGUGCCAGCAGCCGCGGUAAUACGUAGGGUGCGAGCGUUAAUCGGAAUUACUUGGCGUAAAGCGUGCGCAGGCGGUCAUAUAAGACAGAUGUGAAAUCCCCGGGCUCAACCUGGGACCUGCAUUUGUGACUGGAUAGCUAGAGUACGGGAGAGGGGGAUGGAAUUCCGCGUGUAGCAGUGAAAUGCGUAGAUAUGCGGAGGAACACCGAUGGCGAAGGCAAUCCCCUGGACCUGUACUGACGCUCAUGCACGAAAGCGUGGGGAGCAAACA
rnacentral:rRNA from 1 species